rnacentral:rRNA from 1 species
GUAGGUGACCUGCGGAGGAUCAUUACCGAGUGCGGGUCCUUUGGGCCCAACCUCCCAUCCGUGUCUAUUGUACCCUGUUGCUUCGGCGGGCCCGCCGCUUGUCGGCCGCCGGGGGGGCGCCUCUGCCCCCCGGGCCCGUGCCCGCCGGAGACCCCAACACGAACACUGUCUGAAAGCGUGCAGUCUGAGUUGAUUGAAUGCAAUCAGUUAAAACUUUCAACAAUGGAUCUCUUGGUUCCGGCAUCGAUGAAGAACGCAGCGAAAUGCGAUAACUAAUGUGAAUUGCAGAAUUCAGUGAAUCAUCGAGUCUUUGAACGCACAUUGCGCCCCCUGGUAUUCCGGGGGGCAUGCCUGUCCGAGCGUCAUUGCUGCCCUCAAGCCCGGCUUGUGUGUUGGGUCGCCGUCCCCCUCUCCGGGGGGACGGGCCCGAAAGGCAGCGGCGGCACCGCGUCCGAUCCUCGAGCGUAUGGGGCUUUGUCACAUGCUCUGUAGGAUUGGCCGGCGCCUGCCGACGUUUUCCAACCAUUCUUUCCAGGUUGACCUCGGAUCAGGUAGGGAUACCCGCUGAACUUAAGCAUAUCAAUAAGCGGAGGAAAAGAAACCAACCGGGAUUGCCUCAGUAACGGCGAGUGAAGCGGCAAGAGCUCAAAUUUGAAAGCUGGCUCCUUCGGAGUCCGCAUUGUAAUUUGCAGAGGAUGCUUUGGGUGCGGCCCCCGUCUAAGUGCCCUGGAACGGGCCGUCAGAGAGGGUGAGAAUCCCGUCUUGGGCGGGGUGUCCGUGCCCGUGUAAAGCUCCUUCGACGAGUCGAGUUGUUUGGGAAUGCAGCUCUAAAUGGGUGGUAAAUUUCAUCUAAAGCUAAAUACUGGCCGGAGACCGAUAGCGCACAAGUAGAGUGAUCGAAAGAUGAAAAGCACUUUGAAAAGAGAGUUAAACAGCACGUGAAAUUGUUGAAAGGGAAGCGCUUGCGACCAGACUCGCCCGCGGGGUUCAGCCGGCAUUCGUGCCGGUGUACUUCCCCGUGGGCGGGCCAGCGUCGGUUUGGGCGGCCGGUCAAAGGCCCCUGGAAUGUAGUGCCCUCCGGGGCACCUUAUAGCCAGGGGUGCAAUGCGGCCAGCCUGGACCGAGGAACGC